UCCCUUGGGCCACAUUUGGAUGCUGUCCAUU
rnacentral:piRNA from 1 species